rnacentral:rRNA from 1 species
UGGGGAAUUUUGGACAAUGGGCGCAAGCCUGAUCCAGCCAUUCCGCGUGAGUGAAGAAGGCCUUCGGGUUGUAAAGCUCUUUCGGCAGGAAAGAAAUCGGCCCCUCUAACAUAGGGGCUGGAUGACGGUACCUGAAGAAGAAGCACCGGCUAACUACGUGCCAGCAGCCGCGGUAAUACGUAGGGUGCGAGCGUUAAUCGGAAUUACUGGGCGUAAAGCGUGCGCAGGCGGUUUUGUAAGACAGGUGUGAAAUCCCCGGGCUUAACCUGGGAACUGCGCUUGUGACUGCAAGGCUAGAGUACGGCAGAGGGGGGUGGAAUUCCUGGUGUAGCAGUGAAAUGCGUAGAUAUCAGGAGGAACACCAAUGGCGAAGGCAGCCCCCUGGGUCGAUACUGACGCU